CCCAUUCUCGGGCAUGAGUUGGGCAUAACUUCUGAUGAAGCAUUGAGUUUGGAGGACUUAUCUAAGCGUGCUGUUGUAUUUGGAGGAGGGUACAUUGCUGUUGAGUUUGCAUCAAUCUGGAGAGGGUUGGGUGCUGAUGUAAAUCACUUUUUCAUAAGGGAGC